AGUGAGGAGUGACAUUCCUUAGGGGUUAGUAUUAGGACCAGCAUUGUUUAACAUCUUUGUAGGAGACAUGGACAGCGGGAUCGACAGCCAGUAGUUUG